rnacentral:rRNA from 1 species
UGCAGUCGAGCGGUAAGGNCCCUUCGGGGGUACACGAGCGGCGAACGGGUGAGUAACACGUGAGCAACCUACCCUCAACUUCGGGAUAAGCCUCGGAAACGGGGUCUAAUACCGGAUAUCACCACUUUCCUCAUGGUUUGUGGUUGAAAGUUCUGGCGGUUGGGGAUGGGCUCGCGGCCUAUCAGCUUGUUGGUGGGGUAAUGGCCUACCAAGGCGUCGACGGGUAGCCGGCCUGAGAGGGCGACCGGCCACACUGGGACUGAGACACGGCCCAGACUCCUACGGGAGGCAGCAGUGGGGAAUAUUGCGCAAUGGACGAAAGUCUGACGCAGCAACGCCGCGUGAGGGAUGACGGCCUUCGGGUUGUAAACCUCUUUCAGCAGGGACGAAGCGAGAGUGACGGUACCUGCAGAAGAAGGACCGGCCAACUACGUGCCAGCAGCCGCGGUAAUACGUAGGGUCCGAGCGUUGUCCGGAAUUAUUGGGCGUAAAGGGCUCGUAGGCGGUUCGUCACGUCGGGAGUGAAAACUCGGAGCUUAACUCCGAGCCUGCUUCCGAUACGGGCAGACUAGAGGUAGGCAGGGGAGAGCGGAACUCCUGGUGUAGCGGUGGAAUGCGCAGAUAUCAGGAAGAACACCGGUGGCGAAGGCGGCUCUCUGGGCCUUACCUGACGCUGAGGAGCGAAAGCGUGGGUAGCGAACAGGAUUAGAUACCCUGGUAGUCCACGCCGUAAACGUUGGGCGCUAGGUGUGGGGGACAUUCCACGUCCUCCGUGCCGCAGCUAACGCAUUAAGCGCCCCGCCUGGGGAGUACGGCCGCAAGGCUAAAACUCAAAGGAAUUGACGGGGGCCCGCACAAGCGGCGGAGCAUGCGGAUUAAUUCGAUGCAACGCGAAGAACCUUACCUGGGUUUGACAUAUAGGGAAAUCCUCCAGAGAUGGGGGGUCCGUAAGGGUCCUAUACAGGUGGUGCAUGGCUGUCGUCAGCUCGUGUCGUGAGAUGUUGGGUUAAGUCCCGCAACGAGCGCAACCCUCGUCCUAUGUUGCCAGCACGUUAUGGUGGGGACUCAUAGGAGACUGCCGGGGUCAACUCGGAGGAAGGUGGGGAUGACGUCAAGUCAUCAUGCCCCUUAUGUCCAGGGCUUCACGCAUGCUACAAUGGCCGGUACAAAGGGCUGCGAAACUGUAAGGUGGAGCGAAUCCCAAAAAGCCGGUCUCAGUUCGGAUUGGGGUCUGCAACUCGACCCCAUGAAGUCGGAGUCGCUAGUAAUCGCAGNUCAGC